rnacentral:rRNA from 1 species
GGUGAACGCUGGCGGCAGGCCUAAUACAUGCAAGUCGAACGGCAGCACAGCAGAGCUUGCUCUGUGGGUGGCGAGUGGCGGACGGGUGAGGAAUACAUGGGAAUCUGCCCAGUCGUGGGGAUAACGUAGGGAAACUUACGCUAAUACCGCAUGCGCCCUUCGGGGGAAAGCCGGGGACCUUCGGGCCUGGCGCGAUUGGAUGAGCCCAUGUCGGAUUAGCUAGUUGGCGGGGUAAUGGCCCACCAAGGCGACGAUCCGUAGCUGGUCUGAGAGGAUGAUCAGCCACACUGGAACUGAGACACGGUCCAGACUCCUACGGGAGCAGCAGUAGGGAAUAUUGGACAAUGGGCGCAAGCCUGAUCCAGCCAUGCCGCGUGAGUGAAGUAGG